AGAACUUUUGAUUUCUGGCUCAGGACGAAACGCUGGCGGCGUGCCUAACACAUGCAAGUCGAACGGAACCGUUUUUGAAAGAUUUCUUCGGAAAUUGAAUUUGAUUUAGUUUAGUGGCGGACGGGUGAGUAACGCGUGAGUAACCUGCCUUCAAGAGGGGGAUAACAUUCUGAAAAGAAUGCUAAUACCGCAUGACAUAUCGGAACCACAUGGUUUUGAUAUCAAAGAUUUUAUCGCUUGAAGAUGGACUCGCGUCCGAUUAGUUAGUUGGUGAGGUAACGGCUCACCAAGACCGCGAUCGGUAGCCGGACUGAGAGGUUGAACGGCCACAUUGGGACUGAGACACGGCCCAGACUCCUACGGGAGGCAGCAGUGGGGGAUAUUGCGCAAUGGGGGCAACCCUGACGCAGCAACGCCGCGUGAAGGAUGAAGGUUUUCGGAUUGUAAACUUCUUUUAUUAAGGACGAAACUUGACGGUACUUAAUGAAUAAGCUCCGGCUAACUACGUGCCGGCAGCCGCGGUAAUACGUAGGGAGCAAGCGUUGUCCGGAUUUACUGGGUGUAAAGGGUGCGUAGGCGGCUUUGCAAGUCAGAUGUGAAAUCUAUGGGCUCAACCCAUAAACUGCAUUUGAAACUGUAGAGCUUGAGUGAAGUAGAGGCAGGCGGAAUUCCCCGUGUAGCGGUGAAAUGCGUAGAGAUGGGGAGGAACACCAGUGGCGAAGGCGGCCUGCUGGGCUUUAACUGACGCUGAGGCACGAAAGCGUGGGUAGCAAACAGGAUUAGAUACCCUGGUAGUCCACGCUGUAAACGAUGAUUACUAGGUGUGGGGGGUCUGACCCCUUCCGUGCCGGAGUUAACA
rnacentral:rRNA from 1 species